GGAUGCCUCGGAGGCAGCAGUGGGGAAUAUUGGGCAAUGGGCGCAAGCCUGACCCAGCAACGCCGCGUGAAGGAAGAAGGCUUUCGGGUUGUAAACUUCUUUUCUCAGGGACGAAGCAAGUGACGGUACCUGAGGAAUAAGCCACGGCUAACUACGUGCCAGCAGCCGCGGUAAUACGUAGGUGGCAAGCGUUAUCCGGAUUUACUGGGUGUAAAGGGCGUGUAGGCGGGAAAGCAAGUCAGAUGUGAAAACCACGGGCUCAACCUGUGGCCUGCAUUUGAAACUGUUUUUCUUGAGUACUGGAG
rnacentral:rRNA from 1 species